UACGGGGGGGGCAAGCGUUGUUCGGAAUUACUGGGCGUAAAGGGCUCGUAGGCGGCCAACUAAGUCAGACGUGAAAUCCCUCGGCUUAACCGGGGAACUGCGUCUGAUACUGGAUGGCUUGAGUUUGGGAGAGGGAUGCGGAAUUCCAGGUGUAGCGGUGAAAUGCGUAGAUAUCUGGAGGAACACCGGUGGCGAAGGCGGCAUCCUGGACCAACACUGACGCUGAGUGAGCGAAGGCCGGGGAGCAAACGGG
rnacentral:rRNA from 1 species